rnacentral:rRNA from 1 species
AGGGUUUGAUCAUGGCUCAGAAUCAACGCUGGCGGCGUGCCUAACACAUGCAAGUCGAGCGCGAAAGUGGGCUUCGGCUCACGAGUAGAGCGGCGAACGGGUGAGUAACGCGUGGGUGAUCUGCCUUCGAGUGGGGAAUAACACCGGGAAACUGGUGCUAAUACCGCAUAACAUCCUCGGUUCGUUCCGAGGAUCAAAGCCGGGGACCGCAAGGCCUGGCGCUUGAAGAGGAGCCCGCGUCCGAUUAGCUUGUUGGCGGGGUAAUGGCCCACCAAGGCUUCUAUCGGUAGCCGGCCUGAGAGGGCGGACGGCCACACUGGGACUGAGACACGGCCCAGACUCCUACGGGAGGCAGCAGUGGGGAAUUUUCCGCAAUGGGGGAAACCCUGACGAAGCAACGCCGCGUGGAGGAUGAAGGCCCUCGGGUCGUAAACUCCUGUCGAUCGGGAAGAAUGCGUCCGACCCAAUACGUCGGCACGUUGACUGUACCGGUGGAGGAAGCCACGGCUAACUCUGUGCCAGCAGCCGCGGUAAGACAGAGGUGGCAAGCGUUGUUCGGAAUUACUGGGCGUAAAGCGCGCGCAGGCGGUUCGUCAAGUCCCGUGUGAAAUCCCCUGGCUCAACUGGGGAACUGCGCGGGAAACUAGCGGGCUUGAGUUCGGGAGAGGGAAGCGGAAUUCCGGGUGUAGCGGUGAAAUGCGCAGAUAUCCGGAGGAACACCAGUGG